AGGGUGGAGUCAGGGAAGGUAAGUGGCAGAAUCACUACACCUGAGAGCAAUUAACCUGUUUGUGUGUCUUCCCAGUGACCGCGCCCUAUAUGAGGAGGGAGAGCAAGAGCGAAAGGAGCUCCCCCAACCCGAAGACUGAUGACAUAUUGGUAUGCUGUGGUUGAGUUCCUGGCUGAGGGUUCAAUAUCUGUCGUCCCCAGAGAAUGGAUUGAGAGUGACAAAGAUGGUUUCUACAGCUACUGGCCUCGGGACAGACCCACAAGGAGAGCAGAGAAGAGGGAGCUGCCAGAUAAGC